rnacentral:rRNA from 1 species
UACGUAGGUGGCAAGCGUUGUCCGGAUUUACUGGGCGUAAAGAGCGCGCAGGCGGUCGUUCAAGUCGCGUGUGAAAGCCCCCGGCUCAACUGGGGAGGGUCACGCGAUACUGAUCGACUCGAAGGCAGGAGAGGGUAGUGGAAUUCCCGGUGUAGUGGUGAAAUGCGUAGAUAUCGGGAGAACACCAGUGGCGAAGGCGACUACCUGGCCUGUUCUUGACGCUGAGGCGCGAAAGCUAGGGGAGCAAACGGGG